rnacentral:RNase_P_RNA from 1 species
UGACUUGGCCAAAUGAUCGCGGCUGCAAAGUUUAACUUUGCAGGUGAGGAAAGUCCGGGCUUCAUAGGGCAGGGUGCCGGAUAACGUCCGGUGGAGGCGACUCUAAGGAAAGUGCAACAGAAAUAUACCGCCGGUUAAUACCGGUAAGGGUGGAAUGGCGAGGUAAGAGCUCACCGCUUGGCUGGUAACAGGCAAGGCUCUGUAAACCCCACUCGAAGCAAGACCGCAUAGAGAACCAUGUGGCGGCCCGUCACGUUCUCGGGUAGGUCGCUUGAACCCGUUGGUAACAGCGGGUCUAGAUAGAUGAUCAUUCAACGACAUAACCCGGCUUAUCGACCAAGUCAUUAU